GCGGGAAUUCGAUUCGCGGCCUAUCAGCUUGUUGGUGGGGUAGUGGCCUACCAAGGCGACGACGGGUAGCCGGCCUGAGAGGGCGACCGGCCACACUGGGACUGAGACACGGCCCAGACUCCUACGGGAGGCAGCAGUGGGGAAUAUUGCGCAAUGGGCGGAAGCCUGACGCAGCGACGCCGCGUGGGGGAUGACGGCCUUCGGGUUGUAAACCUCUUUCAGCAGGGACGAAGUUGACGUGUACCUGCAGAAGAAGCGCCGGCUAACUACGUGCCAGCAGCCGCGGUAAUACGUAGGGCGCAAGCGUUGUCCGGAACUAUUGGGCGUAAAGAGCUCGUAGGUGGCUGGUCGCGUCUGCCGUGAAAGCCCGCAGCUUAACUGCGGGUCUGCGGUGGAUACGGGCCGGCUAGAGGUAGGUAGGGGCGAGUGGAAUUCCUGGUG
rnacentral:rRNA from 1 species